rnacentral:snRNA from 2 species
GGAUGUGGGGGCGAUCUGGCUGUGACAUCUGUCACUCCAUUGACCACCAUAGUUGAUUUGACUGAGCUGGCUGGCUAGGUUGGUGUCCCCUUCCCUCCUUACUGCUCUUUGUGCAUCCCUCCUGAAGCUAUCCUUGGCUGAAGAGGGCCACCUUCCCUGAUAGAGGAGGACUAUUCUGUCAAGGGUAUAGGAGUAGCUGCACUCCCCUGCUAGAACCUCCAAACAAGCCUUUGAAUUGGAGUAAUGCUAUAACUAUGACCUCCUAAUUUUCUUUUUCUCUUACUAUAAAAUAAUAAUUCUAAUAAUUCAAA